GCUGAAUGGCGCAGCGGAAGCGCGCCGGGCUCAUAACCCGGAGGACAAUGGAUCGUAAGUUCAAACCACCACCA